AGGAAAAGUAAAAAAUGUUAUUUUAAACACUCUCUACUGCUCUGAGCCAAUCAAUUCACCAGAAUUCAAGCAUAAGUGUUCAAAUUUCCCCACCUCAAUAUGCAGGUACAUUGUAAGGGUAAAAAAAAAGUUCCAAGUAAUUAUUUCCUACGUCUAAUAAAUGUUUGUUCUCUUCCUUUUGCUUCUCCUCACUUCUGCCGUAAGUCUCUCUAGCAUCCACAAUGAACAGAAAAGCAAGAACUAUACUUCUCUACACUAAAGAAGGCCAAAGUCUGAGAUGAGUUGUAUUCAAUCCUCAGCUCUGAUGGAUGAAUGCUGACAGGAAAAGAACUUGCCCAUCUCCUCGGGAUGUUGGAGAUAUGCUGGAGCCUUGUGCCUCACCCACUGGAAUCAGGUGAGCAGAGGUUUCAGCAAGAGUCAAACAGUAAGUGGAAAUGCUCUUUACCCACUGGUAAAUUUAUUCCACUUAGAAGUCACUAUUGGCAAAUUUAGUGUUUUAAAACAGAAGG